rnacentral:lncRNA from 1 species
CUCCCUUUGAUCAAAGGGAAAUCCCAUUGAAAACGAAAGUAAGUGUUGUCUUGGUUUUUAUCAAACAGAAAAUAUACAAGGACGUUAGGAGAAAAAAAUAAUUAAAUGAGUAACAUCAAUUGUGUAAGAGUCUAAGAGUAGAAAGAUUUAGUAACUAGUAGUAGUAUAGGAAAAUAAUAUAAAAAUAGAAGUUUUAAAUAAAAAUUCUGGUAAUCAUAAAAAAUCUUCUUCCUUAAUAAUAUCCAUUUAAAUUAUGGAACCAUUUUAUUACGAGUAUGGCAUGGUUAUGUUACUAUACUAUCUAAGUGAAAGGUAGCAAUCCUAAAAUCGAUGUACCAAAAAACCAAACAACAAACCUAUAUAUAUUUAUAUAUAGACAUGAUAGAUUAUUAUACAUUUUAUUUUAUUUAUUGUGACUGCUUAACUUCAUGUGAUAAUUUGAAACAGUGAAGUGGACAAGUCAGAAGCUUUUCUACUCCCCCCCCCCCCCAAAAAAAAAAGGGGGGAAGGAAAAUUAAUAUUAGGUGCGGAAUUGACUAUAAAUGGGAAUUUUGAUUUCACCAAGUGCCAAUUUGACUUGUACCCAUUACAGUAAUGACAAAUGUUGUAUUCUCACUGAAGUCUCACUCAAUUUCUGGGAGAAGACUUUAUAAGUUUGAUUACUUUGUGUCUCAUCCCUUUUUCACAUUUAGGCCAAUAAAAUAUGUUUAAACUAAACUCAAUUUAUAAUUAUUUGUCUGUUUGUCUUUUUCAUUUUUAGCCAUGGUGUUGUCUGUGUAAGUUUAUUUUCGAUUUAUAAAUUUGACUGUUGCUCUGGUAUCUUUCUCCCCUCUUUUACAAAAUGAUUUAUAUAUCACAAUCAAAUUUUAUAAAAUACCAGGACAAUCUGACUGUAGAAUAUAUAUAACAACACAAAACCAUAUGAAAGCUUAAUUUUGAAAGAAAUAGAAGAAAACUAACGGUAUUUAAUUGAUCGCAUUUUUUAAAAAUUUAAUUUCCUGUGACUAAAUGAAGGAUAAGUUGUUUCCCUUUGAACAGAAAUGGUAUAGUUAAUAAGUAUCAAAAAUGUAAUUCUUAGGCUGAUUCUAACAAUGUACUUCGAUUUUGGAUAUUGGACCAUAAUAGAUCAUAAUAGGUAACAGUCAAAUUUCAAAUUUUCAAUUCUUUGACCACAUUCAUUUUGUGUCAACCUACAUUGUAUGCUGUGUCGUCCAAUAUUCAGGUUGUAAUAUGUUACUACAAUUCAAAGUCACUGUACACCAAAACAUGAAUUAUGAACACCAACUCGCAAUACAGGCUGGAAAAAAUGCUGUAAAUAAUAUAAAACUCAGUACAGAGACGACAUAGUAUGGUUUGAUGGAGAUUUAUUUCCCCGAGGGUAUCACCAGCCCAGUAGUCAGCACUUCUGUGUUGAUUUGAGUUAUCAUUGAUGUGUCCAUAAUUAUAAAGUGUCUGAGCAGAAAGUUGAUGAACCAGGGGUAUGUCAAAGAAUGUCUUGUCCUUUUUCAAAAAAAAAGUUCAUUGGAAGGUACCAAGACCUUGUUGAUAAAUAUAUUCCGUAUCAACUUCACAAAUAAUACAUGAUAGUCUUGAUGUAUAGAUUCUGCGUACUGAUGUUGUUUAUCAUCUUAACAACGUGUUAUAUUGUUCUUCCAUUUGUCUUUGUUCUAUAUUAUAUUACUUUUACUGUUGGAAUGUUUAUGUGAUAUCCAUUUAACGUGGCUCGGUACUUAAACAUCCCGUCAAUGUGUUGGUAUUACAAAUGUAUCUUUCAUUUUUGCUGGUGUGUUUUGUAUAUGCGACUUUUUGUGUUUCUUUAUUUCUUAUAACGUGACUCUGUACUUUAAAAGGUCUUGUCAGUAUGCUAUUGUUCUAUAAUAGGUCAUUAUGAUAUAUUUCUAUUAUGAAUUAGAAAAUACGUUGAACCAAACGUCAAAAUAAAUGCGCAGUGGACUAUUUGUGGAUUCUUAUAAAUUCAAUAGAACUUUUGGACUAUUUUAAAUCUCGGUCUAUUUCUUAAAAAUCUGACAUAUUUUUGAUUUUUUAACCCUGUAUGCUACCAUUGCCCAUGUGAAAUUUUAAAAUUGUUUGAAUAAACAUUGAACGACAAAAAUAUGUGACGUAUAAAAUUUUCUGACGUCAGACACGCCAAUCAAUGAAUGUGUUUGUAGAUAGAUGUUUUUGUGUUCUGUUAAAUUGUUCCUUUUAAAAUUGUUAUACGAUGAUGACUGCUGUACCCAUAUUUUGACUAUUUUAUUUAUUAUGUCUGUUUAGUUUACGCAUCAUUGUAAAUAUAACGGAAUUUGAUGAGACUGUCAACAACGUGAGAGGUUUAGCGCUAUAAAACCAGGUUUAAUCCACCAUUUUCUACAUUUGAAAAUGCCUGUACCAAGUCAGGAAUAUGACAGCAAUUGUUCAUUCGUUUUUGAUGUGGUUUGUUUUGCCAUGUGAUUAGGGACUUCUUUUGACUGUUAACAAAACUUUGAAAUUUUGAAAUACUAAGGCUUUUCUACCUCAGGAAUAGAUUACCUUAGCUGUAUUUGACAAAAUUUUUAGUAAUUUUUGGUCUUCAAUGCUCUUCAACUUCGUACUUUAUUUGACAAUUUUUAACAUUUUUUGAUUCGAGCGUCACUGAUGAGUCUUGUGUAGACGAAACGCGCGUCUGGCGUAAAUAUUAAAUUUGAAACCUGGUAUCUAUGAUGAGUUUAUUUACAAUCACUGGGUCUAUGCCACUACUGUUGAAUAUUUAUUUCUCCGAGGGUAUAUCACCAGCCCAGUAGUCAGCACUUCUGUGUUGAUUUGAGUUAUCAUUGAUAUGUUCAUAAUUAUAAAUUGACUGUCAACAAAACUUUGAAUUUUUGGAAUACUAAGGCUUUUCUACCUCAGGAAUAGAUUACCUUAGCUGUAUUUGGCAAAACUUUUAGUAAUUUUUGGUCCUCAAUGCUCUUCAACUUCAUACUUUAUUUGACAUUUUUAACAUUUUUUGAUUCGAGCGUCACUGAUGAGCCUUGUGUGGACGAAACGCGCGUCUGGCCUAAAUAUUAAAAUUGAAUUCUGGUAUCUAUGAUGAGUUUAUUUGAUAACUUUCUUAACAUUAAAAUCAACAUAAACUCGUCCCUUUGUCUUUUAAAAGGAACAAAUCGCUCAGUUUAUGAAAGUUUUUUAUUUUAACUCCACCAUUAUUCAUUUUGAAUUAUUACUUGGCAUGCUUAUUAUGAUAUUCAUUUAAACACGUUUUCCCUUAUUAUACCCCACGCAACGAAGUUGCGGAGGGUAUAAUGUUUUUGACCCGUCCGUCCGCGUCGUUCGUCGUCAUCAUGUUUCUUGUCAUCGCAACUCUCUCAAACCACACAAAGAAUUUCACAAAACCUUUCAGAUGAAAAGGACAUACUAUGUAGUUGUGCAUAUCGACAGGAAAUUGCGAUUCAAUUUUUUUAAGAGUUCGCCCCUUUGAACUUAUUUGCUUAAUGUACUACUGCAACAGUUUGUCAUCGCAACUCCUCUGAAACUACACAACAGAAUUUCACGAAACCUUUUUAGAUAAUAAGGACAUACUAUGUAGAUGUGCAUAUCGACAGGAAAUUACGAUUCAUUUUUUUCUAGAUUACCCCCCUUUGAACUUAUUUACUUUAAUACUGCAACGUUUGUCAUCGCAAACUCCUCUGAAAUACACAACAGAAUUUCAUGAAACCUUUUAAGAUAAUAAGGACAUACUAUGUGUUGCAUAUCGACAGAUACGAUUCAAUUUUUUUUCUAGGAGUUACUUCUUUGAACUAUUUGCUUUAAGGUACUACUCAACAGUUUGUCAUCUCAACUCCUCUGAAACCACCAACGAAUUUCAUGAACAUUUGAGAUAAUAAGUCAUACUAUGUAGAUGUGCAUUCGACAGGAAUUCGAUUCAAUUUUUUUCUAGAGUUACGCCCCUUUGAACUUAUUUGCUUCAAUGUACUUCUGCAACAGUUUGUCAUCUCAACUCCUCUGAAACCACACAACAGAAUUUCAUGAAAUUUUGUAGAUAAUAAGGACAUACUAUGUUGAUGUGCAUAUUGACAGGAAAUUAUUAUUCAAUAUUUUUUUCUUAUACAAUUUUAUUUUCUUACACUUAUUUAAUUUCUCCAAUGACAAUGUGGGGACGUGGGGGUAUGUGAGCGUGCUCACUAAGGUUCUUUAAUUUCAAUAGUCUUUUUCUGUAGUUUAUACCAUUUGUACAAUUUCCUCUACAAGUCAGAGUAAAACGCAUCAAAUUACUGAAAGUAGUCGAAAUGUUAAUGAUAUAUGUAAUUCAUAACCUUAAACAUCACAAAAAAAGAUGAGGCCAUCCCUUCGCACCUGCUACUCUAACAUGAUUUAUUAUUUCCUUUCGAUAUUGCUUUGCUUUUCAUCAUUAUUUUACCAGGACACCAUUUUUUAUCAUCUUUUUGACAUAUUUCACUUUGCUUUUUGCAAAUUGUGAUGAAUUUAGAUACAAAAAUACACUUUCAUUUAUAAUAAUAUUAUGUAAAUGUCGAUUCAUUGUGAAUUGAUGUACACCUAUGCAUACUGUCAGAUAAACAUUUGUCAGCCCUUUUAAUGCAAAGGUUAUGUUUUUCUCAUAUUACAGUAGUAUGGCGGAUAGUCAAUUUGGUGUCAAUUGCCAGCAUAGGGAUGAAGACACAAAAACAAUAUCUGCGUGCAAUGGAUGCAGCGAUGUUGUUGGUCACACAUGUGCUAGCAUUCACGAAAAGAUGUUACCAGCUCAUAAAACAGUACCAAGUAAAGAAAUACAACAACCUACUUCAACUUUUAUUGAAAUGUCCGAGAACUGCGACAUUCAUCCCCGUCAUAAGAGUGUACUGUUCUGUUGUACACAUGACAAGGUGGUCUGCAAUAUAUGUGUAUUUGUAUCACAUCAGAAUUGCAAACCAAUCAUCUCAGUUGAAAAGGCUGCCAAGG